AUUGAACGCUGGCGGCAGGCCUAACACAUGCAAGUCGAACGGUAACAGCGAGCCGCUUGCUGCUUUGCUGACGACUGGCGGGCGGGUGAGUCAUGUCUGGUCAACUGCCUGCUGGGGGGGGAUCUCUACUGGAUACGGUAGAUACUACCGCAUAACGUCGCAAGACCAGGGAGGUGGACCAUUGGGGCUGUUGCGAUUGGGUUCGCCCCGAUGGGACUAGCUAGUAGGUGGGGUAACGGCUAACCUAGGCGACGGUCCCUAGCAGGUCUGAGAGGAUGACCAGGCACACUGGAACUGAGACACGGUCCAGACUCCUGCGGGAGGCAGCAGUGGGGAAUAUUGCACAAGGGGCGCAAGCCGGAUGCAGCCAUGCCGCGUGUAGGAAGAAGGCCUUCGGGUGGUAAAGUACUUUCGGCGGGGAGGAAGGGAGUAAAGUUAAUACCGUUGCUCAUUGACGUUACCCGCAGAAGAAGCACCGGCUAACUCCGUG
rnacentral:rRNA from 1 species